GACGGAGGAUGCAAGUGUUAUCCGGAAUCACUGGGCGUAAAGCGUCUGUAGGUGGUUUAGUAAGUCAACUGUUAAAUCUUGAAGCUUAACUUUAAAACCGCAGUCGAAACUGCUAGACUUGAGUAUAGUAGGGGUAAAGGGAAUUUCCAGUGGAGCGGUGAAAUGCGUAGAUAUUGGAAAGAACACCAAUGGCGAAGGCACUUUACUUGGCUAUUACUGACACUCAGAGACUAAAGCUAGGGUAGCAAAUGGG
rnacentral:rRNA from 1 species